rnacentral:rRNA from 1 species
UGAAGGCUUUCGGGUCGUAAAGCUCUGUCGAGGGGAAAGAAAUGUAUUUGGGCUAAUACCCUUUAUACUUGACGGUACCCCUAAAGGAAGCACCGGCUAACUCCGUGC